GAUGAACGCUGGCGGCGUGCCUAAUACAUGCAAGUCGAGCGAACAGACGAGGAGCUUGCUCCUUUGACGUUAGCGGCGGACGGGUGAGUAACACGUGGAUAACCUACCUAUAAGACUGGGAUAACUUCGGGAAACCGGAGCUAAUACCGGAUAACAUGUUGAACCGCAUGGUUCAACAGUGAAAGACGGUCUUGCUGUCACUUAUAGAUGGAUCCGCGCCGCAUUAGCUAGUUGGUAAGGUAACGGCUUACCGAGGCAACGAUGCGUAGCCGACCUGAGAGGGUGAUCGGCCACACUGGAACUGAGACACGGUCCAGACGCCUACGAGAGGCAGCAGUAGGGAAUCUUCCGCAAUGGGCGAAAGCCUGACGGAGCAACGCCGCGUGAGUGAAGAAGGUCUUCGGAUCGUAAAACUCUGUUAUUAGGGAAGAACAAAUGUGUAAGUAACUAUGCACGUCUUGACGGUACCUAAUCAGAAAGCCACGGCUAACUACGUG
rnacentral:rRNA from 1 species